GUGGCCAUGGCCCAUCGUGUUUAGACCUUAGUGUCUGGGCUAGGCAGCGGGCAUGCCAGUGAUUCCUGCUUCUCUUUCUCCACCUGCUGUUUUUAGGCCAUGCGCUUUCCUCCCAAAUCCUACAACAAGGACCUGGAGUCUGCAGAGGAACGGCGUGAGCGAGAGCAGCAGGACUUGGAAUUUGCCAAGGAGAUGGCAGAAGAUGAUGAUGACAGCUUCCCUUGAGCCAGGGCCUGGGGAGGGGUGGGCUGAGUGGAGACUGGCUUUUGUCUUUUCCCUCAGGGGUCCCUGCGUCCCUGCCCGGGAACCUGGCCUCCUUUCCCACACACAGCUCACAGACUGCGUAUGUGCAGGGGUCAGGGAUGCUGGGAGCUAACUAUCCCCCCUCUUGCUACUAUGUCUCUGUAGCUGGUGACAAUACACUGUGGGCAGAGAAUGGGCGGCAGGUCUCCUGGAGGCAGGGUCUUGCCUAAUGGUGGUGUAGGCAGCAGGAGGGGACAGACAGAACCGUGGAUUAGGGUGUGGAUUAGGGCCUGGAGUUGGGACAUGUUGGGUUGUAUGUUUUUGAAGCUUCAAUUAUGAUUUUUAAACAAUAAAAAGUUCUCCAAAGC